AUGCUUAGUGAACUGGGGAGAUUCCAUGAUCAUGAUGGUGUUUUUCCCAGGGUGAGGCUUAUCCAUUGCAUUCCAGGUGUGCUGACCCCUAUGAUUUCCUCGAAAGUAGAAAACUCAACUGCAAAAUUUAUGGUAGUGGGGGGCUGUGUUUGUGCUCUCCUAG